CGCGGCCUAUCAGCUUGUUGGUGGGGUAACGGCCUACCAAGGCAUCGACGGGUAGCUGGUCUGAGAGGAUGAUCAGCCACACUGGGACUGAGACACGGCCCAGACUCCUACGGGAGGCAGCAGUGGGGAAUCUUGCGCAAUGGGCGAAAGCCUGACGCAGCAACGCCGCGUGCGGGAAGAAGGCCCUAGGGUUGUAAACCGCUUUCAGUAGGAACGAAAAUGACGGUACCUGCAGAAGAAGGUGCGGCCAACUACGUGCCAGCAGCCGCGGUGACACGUAGGCACCAAACGUUGUCCGGAUUUAUUGGGCGUAAAGAGCCCGUAGGCGGUUCAGUAAGUCGGGUGUGAAAACUCUGGGCUUAACCCAGAGCCGCCACUCGAUACUGCUGUGACUUGAGUUCGGUAGGGGAGCAGGGAAUUCCUAGUGUAGCGGUGAAAUGCGCAGAUAUCAGGAGGAACACCGAUGGCGAAGGCAGGUCUCUGGGCCGAUACUGACGCUGAGGAGCGAAAGCGUGGGGAGCGAACAGGAUUAGAUACCCUGGUAGUCCACGCUGUAAACGUUGGGCGCUAGGUGUGGGGGACCUCUCCGGUUCUCUGUGCCGCAGCUAACGCAUUAAGCGCCCCGCCUGGGGAGUACGG
rnacentral:rRNA from 1 species